GUCUACGGCCAUGCCUCCCUGAAUGGGCCCGUCCUCAUCUGAUCUCGGAAUCUAGAAGGGUUAAUACUUGGUUAGUACUUGGUUAGUACUUGGAUGGGAGACUACCCAGGAAUACCAGGUGCUGUGGGCG
rnacentral:rRNA from 1 species